UACGUAGGGUGCAAGCGUUGUCCGGAAUUAUUGGGCGUAAAGAGCUCGUAGGCGGUUCGUCGCGUCGGCUGUGAAAUCCCGGAGCUCAACUCCGGGUCUGCAGUCGAUACGGGCGGACUCGAGUUCGGCAGGGGAGACUGGAAUUCCUGGUGUAGCGGUGAAAUGCGCAGAUAUCAGGAGGAACACCGGUGGCGAAGGCGGGUCUCUGGGCAUUAACUGACGCUGAGGAGCGAAAGCAUGGGGAGCGAACAGG
rnacentral:rRNA from 1 species